rnacentral:rRNA from 2 species
UGCAUAUGUUGUGAACUCGAAGAGUAGGGCGGGACACGUGGUAUCCUGUCUGAAUAUGGGGGGACCAUCCUCCAAGGCUAAAUACUCCUGACUGACCGAUAGUGAACCAGUACCGUGAGGGAAAGGCGAAAAGAACCCCGGCGAGGGGAGUGAAAAAGAACCUGAAACCGUGUACGUACAAGCAGUGGGAGCACCCUUUGGGGUGUGACUGCGUACCUUUUGUAUAAUGGGUCAGCGACUUAUAUUCUGUAGCAAGGUUAACCGAAUAGGGGAGCCGAAGGGAAACCGAGUCUUAACUGGGCGUUAAGUUGCAGGGUAUAGACCCGAAACCCGGUGAUCUAGCCAUGGGCAGGUUGAAGGUUGGGUAACACUAACUGGAGGACCGAACCGACUAAUGUUGAAAAAUUAGCGGAUGACUUGUGGCUGGGGGUGAAAGGCCAAUCAAACCGGGAGAUAGCUGGUUCUCCCCGAAAGCUAUUUAGGUAGCGCCUCGUGAAUUCAUCUUCGGGGGUAGAGCACUGUUUCGGCUAGGGGGUCAUCCCGACUUACCAACCCGAUGCAAACUGCGAAUACCGAAGAAUGUUAUCACGGGAGACACACGGCGGGUGCUAACGUCCGUCGUGAAGAGGGAAACAACCCAGACCGCCAGCUAAGGUCCCAAAGUCAUGGUUAAGUGGGAAACGAUGUGGGAAGGCACAGACAGCCAGGAUGUUGGCUUAGAAGCAGCCAUCAUUUAAAGAAAGCGUAAUAGCUCACUGGUCGAGUCGGCCUGCGCGGAAGAUGUAACGGGGCUAAACCAUGCACCGAAGCUGCGGCAGCGACACUAUGUGUUGUUGGGUAGGGGAGCGUUCUGUAAGCCGUUGAAGGUGUGUCGUGAGGCAUGCUGGAGGUAUCAGAAGUGCGAAUGCUGACAUAAGUAACGAUAAUGCGGGUGAAAACCCCGCACGCCGGAAGACCAAGGGUUCCUGUCCAACGUUAAUCGGGGCAGGGUGAGUCGACCCCUAAGGCGAGGCCGAAAGGCGUAGUCGAUGGGAAACAGGUUAAUAUUCCUGUACUUGGUGUUACUGCGAAGGGGGGACGGAGAAGGCUAUGUUAGCCGGGCGACGGUUGUCCCGGUUUAAGCAUGUAGGCGGAGGUUCCAGGUAAAUCCGGUACCUUUUAACGCUGAGGUGUGAUGACGAGGCACUACGGUGCUGAAGUAACAAAUGCCCUGCUUCCAGGAAAAGCCUCUAAGCAUCAGGUAACACGAAAUCGUACCCCAAACCGACACAGGUGGUCAGGUAGAGAAUACCAAGGCGCUUGAGAGAACUCGGGUGAAGGAACUAGGCAAAAUGGUGCCGUAACUUCGGGAGAAGGCACGCUGAUAUGUAGGUGAAGUGAUUUACUCAUGGAGCUGAAAUCAGUCGAAGAUACCAGCUGGCUGCAACUGUUUAUUAAAAACACAGCACUGUGCAAACACGAAAGUGGACGUAUACGGUGUGACGCCUGCCCGGUGCCGGAAGGUUAAUUGAUGGGGUUAUCCGUAAGGAGAAGCUCUUGAUCGAAGCCCCGGUAAACGGCGGCCGUAACUAUAACGGUCCUAAGGUAGCGAAAUUCCUUGUCGGGUAAGUUCCGACCUGCACGAAUGGCGUAAUGAUGGCCAGGCUGUCUCCACCCGAGACUCAGUGAAAUUGAACUCGCUGUGAAGAUGCAGUGUACCCGCGGCAAGACGGAAAGACCCCGUGAACCUUUACUAUAGCUUGACACUGAACACUGGUCCUUGAUGUGUAGGAUAGGUGGGAGGCUUUGAAGUGUGGACGCCAGUCUGCAUGGAGCCAUCCUUGAAAUACCACCCUUUAAUGGCUGGUGUUCUAACGUAGACCCGUUAUCCGGGUUGCGGACAGUGUCUGGUGGGUAGUUUGACUGGGGCGGUCUCCUCCUAAAGAGUAACGGAGGAGCACGAAGGUUAGCUAAUCCUGGUCGGACAUCAGGAGGUUAGUGCAAAGGCAUAAGCUAGCUUGACUGCGAGAGUGACGGCUCGAGCAGGUGCGAAAGCAGGUCUUAGUGAUCCGGUGGUUCUGAAUGGAAGGGCCAUCGCUCAACGGAUAAAAGGUACUCCGGGGAUAACAGGCUGAUACCGCCCAAGAGUUCAUAUCGACGGCGGUGUUUGGCACCUCGAUGUCGGCUCAUCACAUCCUGGGGCUGAAGUAGGUCCCAAGGGUAUGGCUGUUCGCCAUUUAAAGUGGUACGCGAGCUGGGUUUAGAACGUCGUGAGACAGUUCGGUCCCUAUCUGCCGUGGGCGCUGGAGAAUUGAGGGGGGCUGCUCCUAGUACGAGAGGACCGGAGUGGACGCAUCACUGGUGUUCGGGUUGUCAUGCCAAUGGCAUUGCCCGGUAGCUAAAUGCGGAAGAGAUAAGUGCUGAAAGCAUCUAAGCACGAAACUUGCCCCGAGAUGAGUUCUCCCUGACCCUUUAAGGGUCCUGAAGGAACGUUGAAGACGACGACGUUGAUAGGUCGGGUGUGUAAGUGUAGCGAUACAUUGAGCUAACCGAUACUAAUGAACCGUGAGGCUUAACCUU